UGCUCUCAACAAUGGAUAUCUAGGCUCUCACAACAAUGAAGAAUGCAGCAAAAUGCAUUAUAUGAUGUGAAUUGUAGAAUUCCUUGAAUCAUUGAAGUUUUGAAUGCAACUUAUGCCCGAGGUUCAUCUUGAGGGCAUGCCUGCCUGAGCGUCU
rfam:Selaginella moellendorffii unplaced genomic scaffold SELMOscaffold_78, whole genome shotgun sequence.